UUCAAUUGGAGAGUUUGAUCCUGGCUCAGAAUGAACGCUGGCGGCGUGCUUAACACAUGCAAGUCGCACGAGAAAUCCCGGCUUGCCGGGAGAGUAAAGUGGCGCACGGGUGCGUAACGCGUGGAUAAUCUAGCCUCGAAUCCGGGAUAACAUUUCGAAAGGGAUGCUAAUACCGGAUAAUGUCAUGGAGUCCUCGGGCUUCAUGACCAAAGGUGGCCUCUACAUGUAAGCUACUGUUUGAGGAUGAGUUCGCGUACCAUUAGCUUGUUGGUGGGGUAACGGCCCACCAAGGCUGCGAUGGUUAGCUGGUCUGAGAGGAUGAUCAGCCACACUGGAACUGACACACGGUCCAGACUCCUACGGGAGGCAGCAGUGAGGAAUCUUGCGCAAUGGGGGAAACCCUGACGCAGCAACGCCGCGUGAGUGAUGAAGGUCUUCGGAUCGUAAAGCUCUGUCAAGUGGGAAGAAAUUGUCUUGUGUUAAUACCACAGGGCAUUGACGGUACCACUGAAGGAAGCACCGGCUAACUCCGUGCCAGCAGCCGCGGUAAUACGGAGGGUGCAAGCGUUAUUCGGAAUUAUUGGGCGUAAAGGGCGCGUAGGCGGCUUUAUAAGUCUGAUGUGAAAGCCCGGAGCUUAACUCCGGAAGUGCAUUGGAUACUGUAAGGCUUGAGUAUGGGAGAGGGUAGCGGAAUUCCUGGCGUAGAGGUGAAAUUCGUAGAUAUCAGGAGGAACACCGGUGGCGAAGGCGGCUACCUGGACCAAUACUGACGCUGAGGCGCGAAGGCGUGGGGAGCAAACAGGAUUAGAUACCCUGGUAGUCCACGCAGUAAACUUUGAUCACUAGGUGUAGCGGGUAUUGACCCCUGCUGUGCCGCAGCUAACGCAUUAAGUGAUCCGCCUGGGAAGUACGGCCGCAAGGCUAAAACUCAAAGG
rnacentral:rRNA from 1 species